GGGGGGUGGAGGGCGAGGGGAGGGGUGAAGGAUUAAAUAAAGAGAUAUCAGUCUCCUUUGAAUAUUCUUAACUCUGGUUCCAAAUAGUACACUGCAGCCAGAGGACUUUUCACAGUAAAAGGACUGUAAUGAUUUAGAUAUGCAAUCCACUUGAAGACGUGACCUGAUACUCUUAACUGCAUACCGGCUUUAUGCAGAAUAAUUUUACUGACUUCAGAACUAUUAUUUAUUUAUGUCAGCUUAACAGAGAGAAGAGUUGCCCCAAAAUUAUACUAAAAAAGAAGACUGGGUUUUGAAUAAGGACCCUUUUUUAGCAAUUAAUUCUUACUAUUCAAUCCAACAGUAUAAAAUAUCCAUAACACAUAUCGUUCCAACUGAUUCCUAAGAUUUUAUUACUUAUUAAAAAAAAGGACUUAAUCAAGGAAGUCUUAGGAUUAGACAGUUAUCUCUGGAUGCUCUAAUAUUUCAUCACAAAAAGUGUCCAUGAAAUAAAAGGAAAAUUCUUCUCAAUAAAGCAUAAUGAUAUUUGUUAGGUCUUAUAUCCCUCUGUUCCAUGCCUGUACAACUAGGUCUGAAAUUUUUUUGAAACACUAAAACACUUCAUCUUGGACAGGUGACUGCUACACACAUUCAGUCUAUGUGUAUUUUGACAACAAAUAGCAUGAACUUCCAUGUGUAUUUCUCUCUAAAGCAUAUAAUGCAUCCUAGUGAGUUUUUGUCACUCUCACUUCCUUGUUAGUUAAACACAGAGACGCAAGUAAGAAACUCAUUGAGGUAUGCUGGUUCCUGAGAUUGAUUUCAGCAUAUAUACUGAUACAAAAGUGAAUAUAAUACAGAAGUCUGUAAUUCAGGAAUGUAAAAAUUAAGAAAAGUUACAUCUAAUGUAAAAAAAAAAAAAAAGAUUUUGAAUAGAAUUUUUGUAACCUGGAUUUUCUGCCAUAAACUUUAUACAAAUAUCCUUAUAUUGUUCUAUCAAAUAAAAUGGUAAGGUAUUAUAAAGAGGCUGAGUCAGCAAGGCAAGGUGGGGUCACAAGGUGGGUGUCCAGGCAAAGACACUCUGGGAUUCCUGAACCUGAAACGCGGCUCCCGAGCGAGGAGGUGAGGCCCAAAUAAGGCUUCUCCCAGCCCAUUCUCACCCCACUCCUUCCCAGCAGCCCAAUCCCAGGUUGCCCAGCCAUCCCAAACCCCAUGCUGGCCUUGGGGUCCCACAGCCGAACCUCAGGGUAGGGGGUGUCCAUGCCCUCACAGCCCUCACAGGAGCUACUGAGAGCUACUGCUGGGCAACUAGUAGGUUUUUAGAGGAAAAAUGUGUUUAACUGAGGGCAUAUCCUUUCAUUCUAAUUAGUAGAAAUGUUGUUUUGUUUUUCUUUGAGGCAUCAAGACUAUGGACAGAAGCACAGUGCCAACUGAAGCAUCAGAUCAAUUACGCUACUCUACAGGAGAUGCAUUGAAUCUGUCCAAUAUUUCCUAAUUGCAUCUCAAUACAAAAACAAAUUUCACAUUUUAAUAUUUUUCUCCACCCACUUUUGUGUUUAAUAGACCAUUUUUUCCCUACAUCUUAAAUCAGUCAUUUAUAUGAUAUUAUUAAUAUUGCUAAUAAAAAUUUAAGGGCCAAUUUUUCUUUCUGUGCAUGUGUCCCUAUCAUUAGAAAUGUUCUAGAUACUAGCUUAGACUUAACAAACUUCUCAUUAUAGUUACUAUUUUUACAGAUAGGGCAAAUCAACCUUUUAAUGCAAUUUGAUCUGAAGACUUCUUGAGUCUCUGAAUACCAAGAAACAAAUCCUCAUCCAAUGAAUGAAUGAUCAACAACAUUAUAUGAUGAUUUGUCAGAUGAAGUUCCAGGAAAAAAAGGAAUAAUUGCAGCAGAAAACACAUUUAUUCCAGAAAACAUAAUUAUUUGCAUAUAUAUAUAUAUAUAUGCAUAUAUGUGUAUAUAUAUAUAUACACACACAUAUAUAAACAGCCCUCCUUUGUGGAACAACUUUUCCAUAUGAAUCUAUUCACUAGUUUCUACUCCAAAUCCUUCCCUGCCAUCCACAUUUUCUUGUAACCAACAUUGGUAAUCAGUGCUUCACUAGUUGUCAGUAUUAGUUAUUUGUUCUAUAAUUAUUUUAUGAAAGAGUUUUUGGAUAUUUUCCAGAAAUGAUUCAGAACUUACAGUUUUAUAGUAGCUAGCUUUAUGUAAUAAAAUGAUCUCCACUGCUAUUGUUUGUCAGUUUUGUUUGCCUUGGUUCAACUGCGACUGUAAACUCUUCAGGACGAGAGCUGUGCUGCAUUCCUAAGCAGCCUAGCACAAGGUCAGACCUUGACUGAGGAAAAUAUUUUAACACAAAUAACAAAUAAACAGAUUAUGGCUAAUAUAUAUACACCGCUAUCUGCCAGUCACAGCUGAAGGUGUGAUUUCAGCUGUGGGACAAAUUUUACAUGAGUGCUAUCCUCUGUACAGUUAGUGUUUGGCCACCAACUAGUUCUUGGUAUAGCCCUAAUUUGCUCUUGAUUUUUCAGGUGUAAAUUUCAUUUUUCAAAUAAAAAAAUCUCAGAACUUGCAUGUUAAUUUCUAAUGAGUCAAAUAGAUGGAUAUUAUCAUAGUUCAGACCCUGCAUACAUGCUGCAGCUGAACUGCCUUGAUAGUUAUUUUGGAGGUUUGUAACAACUAGUACAAAAUAUUAUACAAAAUCAGGUCAAAACAAUAUUUUCUAAAAAUAUAAUAUAUAUGAUGAAUGGGCCUAUGAAAAACAGGUCUGAUGAAAGCAUAAAAUGUACUUCUUUCAUAAGUUUCAUAAAUUAUAAAUAGAAAAGACCAGCCCCUCUAUAUCUGGUGCUGUCAUUGGAAAAUAAAAAAAAUGAAUAAUCUAUCAUGUAUGAGAUAUAUCACCUACGUGAUUUAUUGUUUUGCUAGAAAACACUUAUUUUAUUACUGUGACAAGUACAGAGUAGAAUCUGUAUAAAAUGGCGAAUUUUGAUCAAUGUGACCUAAAAACUUGUCUUCACGAAUAAUGAUUCGUUAUUACUGAAAGUGAGGUAGAUUGUGUAUUACGUAAAAUUAUAUUGAAAGGAAUAUGAAAUAAUCUAUCAAAUUCUGUAAAAAUGACAAUGAAUAAGUAGAAAAAAAGUUUCCUUGAAAUACAUUUUCAUUGUAUAGUCACUUUUCGACAAAAUUGAAUAUCUUGCUAGCAUUUGCAAAAAAAGAGAACAAAAAUGCUUUGUUUUUCUUUAACGCUAUCCAUACUGGGAUGGUCUACAGUGAGAUACCACUGCAACAUUCUGAGAUUUUUAGAACAAACAAGGAAAACAUGGAAGAGUAUGUUUUGUAUAAUUAUGCAAACAAAUUUGAAUGGAACUACUUUUACACUCUAGUCACUCUUCUCUCCAUAAUGUCUGUCUGUAGGUCCUGUGCUCAGUGUUGUUCCAUAACAGCCCCUUUUCCUAUAACCCAUUCUUUAUGAAAUUAUGUCAUUUUGUUGCAGUAGUAUCUGUAGAUUCCUAUUCAAUUCCUUCUGAUUUUGUAUAAGUGGAAAAAAUGUGCAUAUAGUAUGUAUGUGGCAAUUUUUUAUCAAAAACAAUUUGGAACAAGGGACAAGACAGUGAAUCACUUCUUGAUGAAUCAGAAAUGGGAAAUGAACAAACUCACUAAGUCUGAAGUUGAGGGUUGAAGAUGAAAAAAAAAUCAAUAGUUCUUUCCCAUGAAAAAAUAUAAUGAUUGUAAGACUGAUCUUUUGCAAUAGGAAACUGUGAGCAAGCUAUAUUGCUGAAAUUUGCUAGGUGCAGUGUAAGAAUUUUGGUCCAGCAAAAGUAAAGUUCAUACUUCAGAGUGUACAAGUUCCUGUAACAGAAACCUCUAACCUUCACUUAAACAUUAUUAAAAACAAUGAAAUAAACAGCAAUAGGAAUCUAUUCAAUAAUUAUUUUUAAAAAUUUCAACAAAAAAGCAAUAUGCAUAUUUAAUGCUUUUCUGAUUUCCCAACAGUUUAUUCUAACUGAUACUUCUUCUAGGCAAUUUUAAUGGCUAACACUUUAGCUAAGACUUGUUCAGUCAUCAUAAGCAAAUUUUCUCAGGAAAAAAACGUUCUCCAACAUUUUGUUUCCAAGGAAACAUUUCUCAUAUUUUUUCUGCAGAUGGCAGCAAAUAUCCACUGAUCAGCAGAACUUUUUUCAGUAUAUAUAUUGCAUUAUACUUAUAAGAAGACCAAGAUAAAAGUAAUAGAAGAAUAUGUGUUAAGACAAUUGUAAUAAUAGUAGAGAAUUUAUAUCUACUAAAUCUAAUAAUAGUAGACAAUUUAUCACAUUGAAAAAGAUUCAUUUAUGUGUUAAACACAUUUUAGCAUAUUUUACUAUAACGAUUAAAACAGAGCAAAAUAUGUCGACAUUUUAUGUAGGAAUAAAUGUAUCCAGCUAUGUAGGACUGUAGGAAUAAAACAAGUACAGCUUUACUGGGAGAGAAAUUUAAAGCAUAGGCUAUUAUUAUAAUACAGGAUAUAAAUAAUCAGCUGAUGAAAUUUCUGGUGUUACAAGUGCCAAUAUUUCUUAUCUACCUAAUUUAUACUACACUCACAAGUUUAGAAAGGAUCCAUGGGUCGGAAACCCGUUCUGCUGGGUACCAUAUAAAAUAGCAAAAAGAUCCUACUAUUCAGGCUUUGUCAGUGAAGACACAUGUUUAUGAAUCAGCUGACAUAGUCCUGCUUAAUGAAGACUUUUCAUCAAGUGGAGGUUGGACUUUACAACAUCCUUCUACAAGUAGGUAGAUUUUUUAAGGCAAAUUCUGGAGAAUAUAAGAAUACACAGAGCUCCAAUCUCUGUCAGAUGAUUAAUACGGCUUGCUUCUAUACAUGGUUGUUGUUUUCCUGUGUGACUGAGCAGCUCAAAUUCACAGAUUUUUUUAGCAAUAAACUGUUUUUUUGGUUUUUUUUUUUUGUGGUAGAUAAAAUAUUAGCAUCAGGAACAGAUUUUUGUGACUCUUUCAAAAAGAAUAAGAAUUUAUUUAAAGACUGUUGGAUUUUUAUAUUCACAGCAUGAGCUUCUUUCUUCAUAAACAAGGCACUGUAGAAGACAUCAUGGUUCUGCCUGCCAGAAACUUAAAAACAUCAACGUAUUCAGCAAACUGAGGAAAGACCAGCAGAAAAGGAUUAACCAGAACCUUUCACACAUCUUCCAAAUAAAUAUAUUCAUGAUUAUGAAGCUUCUUGAACUGUAGUCACCCAGAUGUCUUCAGUAAUUUACUGGUAAAUAGACCCUGUAAUCAACACAAGGAGAUAACACUCAAACUAUGAAUUCAAGCAUGCAAGGAAGGUAUAGCUUUUUUUUUUUUUUCUUUUUUCUCAGAAAGAUGCUUUUUAAAAUUCUAUACAGAAGAAUAUUCAAACAGUAACAUAGUCUCUGAGCAGGGAUUAUACCUACCACUUUUAUGUGUUUACAAAACUUGAUCAACUCUAUGUUUCCAGUUCAUCCACAGGAAAGGGAUGAACAAUUCAUACAGCUCUCCCUUAACCCAAGUUCAUCAUGAAGGACCAAACUCAAGUAAUCAGUAUAAGCCUCUAUAUUUGCAUCAGAAGCAGCAGUAAGUAAAUUUAACGCUUUUGGUAAAUUUGAUACUAUAUCUAUAUAGAGCAGAAGAAAAAAGGCAUUAUAUACAUAACUCACACACCCUUAUUAAAGAAAGUUUGCCCUGCAAAUCUGAAAACUAAAGGAAUCAAAAUCUCCAUAAACAUUAUUUUUAAGACUUUAUCUGCUACAAAUCAUUAUCCGCAAUCAAAUUCAAACUUUUGAGAUAAGAAAUACAAUCCUGUAGUAUUUCUAGAAAGGCUUUGUUCGUGUUCUUCUGGCUGGUUAGUUACUAAUCACUGUACAGGAACACUUCAAAGUCAAUGUAGCACCAGGUAUAGAGGAAGCCUCAGUCCACAAGGAAGGGAGAAAUGAUCUUUUCUAUCAGAUCUCUGUGAUCACACCAAGCUAUAAAAUGGUUUUUAUAACAAAACACUUUCAUAUUCCUCUAACAGGAUAGUCUCAAGUGCACAAAUAUAGGUGCAUAUGCCAAUGCAGAAUACAUAAUACGUUUAUACUGCUAAAUAAAAGAGGUCGAGGGAACAAGUUCAAGCAAUGUUCCCCUGAUGAUUCACACUGCUUAAUUGUAAGAUCACUCUCUCACUCAGUUUGGACUGCUCUUGCUAGCUCUUUCCAAGACAAAUCUGUUAAAAAUGGAGCUUCCUCUAAGGAAACAGAAGACAAAAAUAGUGGGUGGCUGUUGGCAAAGGGAGUGCUUGCUGAUCCUCUUUUGUAUAGCAGUGUAGGCAAAACCAAUGCAUUUGAUACUUAAAGCACAAAUCAGACCUCCUGCAGACACAGUACUUAGAUACGAGAACAUCUGCAGUAAGUCUGGUGUGUUCUGGAUACCUUGGACUCUUGGACUUCCUCUUCAGUAGCUCUUACUAAGUGUAAUGACCAUUUAUUUCAGAACAUCAGGAUUUCAGGAAGACUUGCUAAAGCAGUCUGAGUAGACCAAAUUGCCACUGGCAUCCAAAAAUCUUUCACAAAUAUUCUGACUGGAUGCUGCUUAAAGUGACAAGCUAAAGCAAGCACUUCUAUUUUUGCCGAUAAAUCUGCAUGUGCUUCUCUUGCAAUCAUUUAUUCUCUCUGAAGCAGAAAAGAUCAGCUUUUCAGUUCUGUCUUCUAACCGAUCCUUCCAUCACAAUUUAACUUACAUUAACUGUUGUUUACUCUUAAAAAUACAGAGACAUCUCAAAAGCAUUGAUGAUAGCAUUAAUAAUACAGGCAUGAAGUUGGGAAAAUACUGCAGUUGAAAAUAACGUCAGAGUUAAUUGAAUAUAAACACAAAAAAUUAAGAUGCUGACAGAAAAAGAAACAUUUAAUGUGGGAAAGAAGAGUAGAAACAAAAGGGAUAACACACAGAAUGAAUCUACUUGAAGUGGAACAAGGAAAUUCACAAAGCUAUUGAAGACUAUGAAGGCUGGGAAAUAUUAUUCAAGGUAGUUAAAAAUAGCAAUUUCAUUCCUUUAUGACAAGCUGAUUUAUUCUGUGCCUUUCAACUGAUAAGUCGUAAUAAAUAAUACAUAACUAGUAUUCAUUAUGUCCUACUCUGCAAUAAUAGUGAGAGCCUUUUGCUAGAAUUUCAGCACUAUAAUUUUUCUGAAAAAUGUAUGCUAUCAGAAUAAGGUCCUGUAAACGUGUUUUAAAUCCUUCAGUGUAUAUAUACAUCAAACAUUUUAACACAUAGGCUUAUAUCAUCAAUAACUGAGUUCCAACUCGGGGAAAACCCAGAAAAGUUUCUAUUUGAAUUUCCUAAUGUAUAGGUUAAAUGAUUGAAAUGAAAUCUGCAUUAGGUCAUGCUUGGGAAGCCUUUCUGUAAAAGGUUCACUGUUACCUCUGAAAGCUUCUAAAAAUAAGUAUUGACGUGCACUUUUUCAUUAAUUGUAUGCUGAGAUUUAAUGGGUUUGCAGCAAAGUGUUGAAAUUUGCUGUGCUAGUGUAAAUUGUUUAAGAACAGAACUAUGUGCUUUAUUGUCCAUUAUUAACCCUGCAUGAAAAUUUUUAAAUGCUGAUUCUUUUCAAGAAAUGAACAAAUGUUUAUUUAACUGUGAUAAUUAUGGACACUCAACUGAAACUGUUUAUAAUUCAAAAAAAUAUUAAAGUGAUAGAUUUUUAAAGUUUGUUAUCAGGUUAAUGAAGAAAGUCAUACUCAUGAGUGAUAUUUUUAAGACAAUUUUGCUGUAGACCCCAAGGAACACUGAAGAUAUAGUGGGUACUGACCCAUGGACUUUAAGUGAAGAUACAUCAGAGAUAUAUAAUCAGGUCUGUAAGACACCAUAUUCUAUUUUUUUCUACUUGGGCAAGAAAAUCCCAGAUAAUAAACUUAUCCUUCUACAUACUUCAGCAUGUGAAGUACUAACUUUCUGCCUUUCUUGAGUUUCCAUCUUUUUCCAAAUGAUUGUUCAGUACUAAAACAAAUUAAGGGUUUUACAUUAACAAAAGACUUUGAUCGAUUCUAGUUAAAAUAAUCUGGUCAUUUACAUUUCAAUUUCCAAUACGUUUGUGAAUAACCAUUAGGAAGAAGAGAUGCAGUACAGGACAUUACGCCAUGUCAUAGAACAUGAACGAUGUUUUCAUUUUGUUAUAGACCUAGUUCACAAACAAUGGAAAAAUGUGAACAAAAUAUGCACCAAAAUAUGCCACAAAAUAUAUACCAAAUACUACUCUAGUUCUACUCCUCUGUGGUAAUUAAGGGAGUAUGCAUUUGACUAUGUGUUAUGGCUAAUGUUAGCAGAGAAAAACAGACAAAAUGGCCUCAAUAGGGGCCACCAGAGGCCCCUUCCAAACUCGUCUGUUCUAUGAUAAUGUAGAACAAGUUUAUUAUUGACAAAAAUAAGAGAGUCUGGAAAAGUGCAUCAGGAGUUCAUGACUUAGUGUUAUAUUGACUUUUUCAAGAUAAAACACAAAAGAUCAUAGCAGUAUAGCUGAGCACAUCCCCUCCCUUGCUUGUCUAUCUCAAAAACCUCACAUGUUUUACUACAUUUAAAGUUAUUCCUGACAUCCUAUCAAAGCUUUUUCUUACCAGAAGUUAAGUGCAUCACUUGUUGGCUAGUCAAUAAGUGGAAGGUGCAGAGAAUAAUUCUGUAUUUGUUCAUUUUCCCCUUCACAGCAGUCCUUUAAAAAUUGAAACAUUUAUCAGAUCUGCUUGUCAGUUGCCUCUUCUCCAAGUAUCAUUACUAUUGGAUGGACCAUUAAUAUAGACAAUAGUACUUAGUAAUUUAAUCCCCACAGAAAGUCUCUCUUUCUGCCCGUUCAUACGUUUAGCAAACAUAUUUAUGUAUGUAACACAGGAGAGAUUGAAGAAAGAGGGCUUAUUUUCUCUAGAAAUAUAUAUUAUGCAUAAUAAUAAUCUACAUACACUUAUUGGUUCUUUUGUAUCUUCACUGAAGAAGCUUUCUUGGACUAGAAGAUCUCUUUGGAUGAAGAUGACUUUUCCAGCUGUGUGUUCUCUAAUCAGCAAAAACAGUUUUAAGCCUUUAUAGUCUCCCUGUGGGAUUUUCAUAAGUCUAUCAAAAUAUCUCUUGUGAUCCCUUACUGCAAAUGUUUAAUUAUGCAAGGAAGCCAGCAACUUCCUAAAGUCCCAGAACUUCCUAGUUAUUGCCUUGGCACAGUAGAAAAUCCUCACAGAAUGUAGCUUAUUUCAGGCACUAGAGGGGCUUAAAACUCAUAUUCAGACCAAAGUCAUGGCUUUCAUCUUAAAGCUAGAGCAGCAUAUUUUAACAAGUCAUUAUGUUAUGGCAUUCUCAUAGAUAGUAACUUGUCUCAAAUAAUCUUUGCAAAGUACAAAAGUAAAACUGCUGUGGGAAACAAUGGUGGUGGUGGAAGUUUUUAUUUUGUUUUUUUCCUAGUCUUGGGCUUUUAAGGGAAACUAUUUUAAUAUGAAUAAAGAAACAAAGCGAGUGAGAAGUUAAUCCUGCUGGACCAGACACACUAAGAUCACCUCUCUCCUAAUAUUGUUGCUGUGGUCUUAAAAAAUAUGUUCUAAAGUAUCUUGAAAAUUUGACGUAACUUGUCAACCCACACUGGAGACAGCAGCCCAGUAUUUACUAUUCAGAUUCUACCCUUGGUGGCAUUUCAAGAUAAAAUGGAUUUGGAUCAGGAGGAAAUGAGUUCAAACAUAGAUACAAAGAACUUUUUGCACUGACAAAUUUUAGAUCAUAUUCAAAUCAAACAUCUAGGAAAUAAUAAUCUGUAGUGGAUAAGAACUGAGUUUGGGUAGCAUCAGGAGCUUCCCACAUUCUCUCAUACACUGGAAAGUGGUUUUCUCUAACUCAGAAAAAAAGAAAAAAAAAUAGUAUGCACAGUCCUGGCUUCAUCCCCUUUUUGCUGUUAUAGAGCCACCAGCCAUGAUCUAUCAGAGAUGUGCUUAAAUAACUGUGAGGGUCUCAAUAGUCAAAAUUUAGAGCCAAAGACCAGUGGAAAGAGGAAGAGCAGACAGAGAUUGUAUUUGACCAUGUAACAAUCAUGCCAAACAUCUAAUCCAGGAGAUUUACAGUGCAAAAUAAAACCCUGAGGCAACUCAUGGUCUUUUGCAGUCUCCAUAAAACAAAAAAGACAGAACAUCUGAAUUAAAUGCAAUGAACAA